GUGAGGAAUAUUGGUCAAUGGGCGAGAGCCUGAACCAGCCAAGUCGCGUGAAGGAUGAAGGUUUUAUGAAUUGUAAACUUCUUUUGCAGGGGAAUAAAGUGCAGGACGUGUCCUGUUUUGUAUGUACCCUGAGAAUAAGGAUCGGCUAACUCCGUGCCAGCAGCCGCGGUAAUACGGAGGAUCCGAGCGUUAUCCGGAUUUAUUGGGUUUAAAGGGUGCGUAGGUGGUUUGAUAAGUCAGCGGUGAAAGUUUGCAGCUUAACUGUAAAAAUGCCGUUGAAACUGUCGGACUUGAGUGUAAAUGAGGUAGGCGGAAUGCGUGGUGUAGCGGUGAAAUGCAUAGAUAUCACGCAGAACUCCGAUUGCGAAGGCAGCUUACUAAGCUACAACUGACACUGAAGCACGAAAGCGUGGGGAUCAAACAGGAUUAGAAACCCGUGUAGUCC
rnacentral:rRNA from 1 species